ensembl:lncRNA
GUCACGCUAAGAUACACCAGAAAGCCAGGCGCAUGCACGCGGCGCGCUGCCGCUUCAAGGCGCGGGCGCGAGAGAGAGAGAGAGAGAGAGAGCGCGAGAGCGUGAGUGCGUAUGUGUCACACAUCGCUGAGAAAAGCUUCCGCGUGCCGUCGGUUCGACCUGCUGCAGGAACACAACGCUGAACUUUACUACUGGAAAAUCAGCACCUAUUCCUACAAGGUCAGUAGAUGUUCUAACUUUAUUAUUAUUAUUUAAAUAUGUUUUUGAGUUUUAUUCCCGGUUUUAGUAGUUUUAUUGUGGCAUGUCCAAUAAUGCACGCGCUGAUGGAUGAGCUGUUUGGCGCGCGAGUUGUAAAAGGUGCACAGGAUGAUGCACAGGUAUACUGUGUGGAUAUUUAUGAUCAAAACAAGUUUAACAAAAACAAACAAACAAAAUCCUCUGCCCCUCGUGCACUUGCGGUAGUACUAAUAAUACAGACAGCUCAGUGUUUUAAUAUUAGAGUCUCAUCUCUUAAAAAAGGUGUCUCACCUGUGCUGGGUUUGGUUUCCGGGAAGCGCGUGCGCUGGGAAUUCACGGUUCUUCCCUCAUCAUUGCAUCCUCUUACAGACUAAAAGGCACCCCAUAUCAUUCAGAGUGCACAUGCACGGUGUAAUGCACAUGAUGGAAGGGCAUGGAGUGUCAUUCUGCAGGAGUGUAGCUGUACAUUCACAGAGGAACUUCACUUAAACGUGGAGUUUUCGGUUGAACCUGGAUUACACAAAGUUUCUGGAGAAGGAGGUCGUUUCAGGAGGAGCGCAUGAUCAUAGCUGGGUUUUUUUCUUCUUCCAGGAGAAAGUAGCUAAUGCUUGCUCGAUAAGGUCCCUAGAAGUCCCCAUAUGACACCCUAGACUAAUCUGCGUAUUUAUUCAGUGGCAUAGGAACGUGUUGGAACAUGAAGAUUUUCUGCAAACACUCAGAAUAGAAAUGAGUUAUACCAAAGUACAAGGUAUUAGAUCAUGGGAUCUGGUUUAUAAAAAGAAGGCGUCUUUGGUCAUGGCACCGCAAAAUAUAAUCUCUAGGACGCAGACUGAACGAGGCAGUGGUAGUGAGGUAUCUGGAAAUAGGUAUGAAGGGGAAUCUGUUAAUGUAAUUUUAUUACUGUAAAUAUUGCCAAUAAAUGAUUUUCAGAUGAAGAACAGAAACAUGCUGGUGGGACAAACAGUGGUGAUGAGUGAUUAAUCACUGGUCACCAUUCUUUCUAUUGACCAGUCAUUGGGAACAGUGAGGGUCGGUGAUCAGUCGUGGGGAACGGUGAGGGUCGGUGAUCAGUCGUGGGGAACAGUGAGGGUCGGUGAUCAGUCGUGGGGAACGAUGGGGUCGGUGAUCAGUCAUUGGAACAGUGAGGGUCGGUGGUCAGUCGUGGGGAACAAUGGGGUCGGUGAUUUAAUUUUUGAGAACAAUAGUGACCUGUGAUCAGUCAUUAGGAACAAUGGAAAUUGGUAGAUAGCCAGGGGGUACAAUGGUGAUCAGUGAUUAGUCACUGGAAACAAUGGUCACCAGUGAUUAAUUGUUGAGAACAAUGGUUUCAACAAUGAUCAGUCAUUGAAAACAGUAGUGAUCAGUGAUUAUUCAAUACCAAAGAAUGGUGAUCAGAGAGUAAUUGUUUGGCAGGGUGUACCCCGCCUUGUGCCCCAUGCUCCCUGGGAUAGGCUCCAGGUUUCCUGCGACCCUGUAGGAUAAGCGGUAUAGAAAAUGGAUGGAUGGAUGGAUUAGUUGUCGGGAACAGUGGUGAUCAGUGAUUGAUCCAUGGAAAUGUUGACUCGCACAAAUGCACGAAUUAUAGCGACAGUCACUAAGCUGCAAACUCUGAGCAUGAUGACGAGAACCCAAAUGUCAUAGCCUAAAUCAAAAUCCCUCCGAAAGCUUGAGCAAGUGAACCAGAUAUUAAAAUGAAAAUGUGUUUGUCUAUAUAAAGGUUAUAAAGGUUGCAUUUGCACACUGACACAUUGAGGCUACCGCUGCUCCACUUACCUUUUCCCACAAGGAGAAGUAAAAUACCACGCUUUAUUGAACUGGAUUUUUAUAUGGUAGUGGAAUCGAGUGUUAUGGGACAUCAGUGAAUAAAGGGACACAUAAAUUCGAUACACGCUGAAUGGCCAAGCCCACGGUAUCCCAUCUGGAAACAACAUGCUUCAUAAAUCUUUUUUAUCUUUGUUUUCUUAAAUUGUGUGCAAUUGUUUGGGUGUUUUUCUCUCGCUUGGUGAUGUUUUUAUAUUUUCCAGUUGUUUUACUGGAUUGGGCAACAACAGCAUGGAGAAAAUUGAGUGAGUCUGAGAAAGAGUCACUGACCUUCACAAUGACCUUGACUCUCCUCCUCAUCGACGCUGCGUUUAACACACUCCUUGCUGCCUACUGCUGAUGUGAAAACACACUCCCGACGUUUCAGUUUUGAAACCUCAGAGGUGAGCUCAACAUUUCCUACAUGGCUGACAGAGGUCUGAAACCAGCUUGUUUAUUAUGCAGAAGGAAGAACAGGGUAAUUUUAUUAUUUGCGUCCUUAUGCGAUACAUCAAAGCAGAACUCUGAGGCUCUUCGUUCUCUCCGGGAAAUCCAUUCGCGCAGCAGUGUCUCUCGCUGCUUGAGUCAAGGUCUGAAAUGAAUUUUCUUUCCCCAGUGUGGGAGCUAAAUGAGUGAUUUUCCACCUGCCACUUCCGAAAGUCGUGUGGAAAAUGUUGGAAUUACGAACAGACCCAUAUUAUGUUUCAAAUGCAAAAUAAUUCGUCUUUUUUUAAAUUUUUUUCUUUCUGUAAGACGUGUCAGGAAUGACUUUAGUUGUGCAGUUGUUUGCGUUUGACCUUCGAUCAUAUUAAUGCAUAAAAUGGGUACUAUAAUACAAUUCUUCAAGGUGUUUUUCCGAAUAGUACCUUCCCCUGGGAAACUAUUGGAAUGGCAAGGCCACUGAAGAUAUCGACAGCUCUCUGAUCUUCAUCUUGGUUUAUCCUCUUUAACAACAAAGGCAGGUCUUUCCAGGUGAAACUGAAGGUUAAAACCAAGAGUAGAUAUUCAGAGCUACUUAUUGUUUAAAUAAUCAAUCUAACAGGACACACCGGGGUAACGAGAAACACCUGUCGGUCACGCGUUCCAAUAUUUUUGCUUGCCUACAAAUUUGGUGGUCGGAUACCAAAUGUGCUAUGUUUUUAUGUUUAACACGUCUACAUGUAAAUAGCAGGAAAUAAAAACAGAACUCUCGUCUCGUAUACACCUUUUGAUCUCACUGAAAUGUCUCGGCCUUGUUGUUCUAAUAGUUUCGGAGGGGACUGUAUCUUCGACAUCCUGGUAGCAUUUCCACCUCUGGGGUUCGAUCCUGAGCUCGCGUUAAUGUCUACACAUGUGCUUCCUGUUUCUCUGGAUUCCUGUCAGAGGUGUAUUCGUUGUAAGUGCGUUGGUGACUCUAAAUCGCAUGUAGAUGUUGGUGAAUGUUGCGUGUGAACGGUUGCACGGUGCCAUGUAACAGACAGGCGUCCCAUCCAAGGAGUAGUCCCAGGAUAGGCUCCGGAUCCCCCGCCACCCUGACCAGGAUGUAAAGUGCUUCCUGAAGAUGAAUGAAUGAACCAUGCACUGAAUCAUUUGACUUUGGACCCAUGAUGCCAAUAUGACCAAACACACUGUCCUUGGGUGGGGAAGUGAGAGAAAGUAAACACCCCCAACACUCACCAAGUCUCAAAAGUAAUUCUUGGGGCUCAGUGAAUGAAGGAGA